ACAUAUAUAAGUAAGUGAAGUAAAGUGGGGGGGGGGGGGGGGGGGGGGAUUUACAGUUGGAGUGAAAGCUCAUUUUUUACCGGAAGUGGGAAACACUAUUCUCUCUUUCAUAGGCCUACAAGUUGUCGACACGGAUAGACUGUGUUUCUCCACUGUUAAAGGUUUAUGAAUACUAAAUACAAUAUAUUGAAGAAAGAUAAAAACUUGGAUAAACUAUAAUCACCUUCAUGAUUACAUAUGGCCUGUGUGUUUAUUGAAUGGAAGCCUUUCCGGUUCACAUACACGGGCUCAUGCUCACUGGGGCCCAUGAUGCGGACGUGGGUACCAUCGAUAGCACCAAUCACACCAGGAAAUUUGGCAAUGACAUAAAAGCCCUUCUUGAUGUUGGACUUCUCUCCUUCUGUGGAUGGCCACUUUAUAAAACGUGAGGCCAAAUCGGUCAGGGCUUGGGAUACAUCCUGGAUACUUCGAGAAACACUUGACUUGUGGAAACCCAGUGUAUCGCCUAUAGUUUUCAUGUUAUCACCUGUAGCGUAAUAUCGUAGAGCCAUCUCGACCUGACUGAGAGCUGACAAGGAAUAUGAGCGCAAUGUUGGACGGCACAACUCGGGUUCUAGUAGAUCAGUGAUGAAAUUAACUGACUCUUUACUAAACCUAUACCUUUCUUUGUAUUCACUGUCAUUGAAAUCGUGAUUAAAAUGUCUGUAAACUCU